GGUCUUUUUGCUCUGAAUAUGAGUGUCAAGGAGGUCAUAAUAUACACAGUUUCAGCAAGAUGACAUACUGUAGGUCACUCUGUGUCUUAAAAUCAGAUAUUAAAGUUAAUAGAGAGCUGGCAUUCACUUUUGAGCUCAUGUUUCAAAUAA